UACGAAGGGGCUAGCGUUGUUCGGAAUUACUGGGCGUAAAGAGCGCGUAGGCGGCUUACCAAGUUGGGGGUGAAAUCCCGGAGCUCAACUCCGGAACUGCCUUCAAAACUGGUAGGCUCGAGUCCGGAAGAGGGGCGUGGAAUUCCCAGUGUAGAGGUGAAAUUCGUAGAGAUUGGGAAGAACACCGGUGGCGAAGGCGGCGCCCUGGUCCGGUACUGACGCUGAGGCGCGAAAGAGUGGGGAGCAAACAGG
rnacentral:rRNA from 1 species